rnacentral:rRNA from 1 species
UUUUGGGCUUAGUUGGUUGUGAAGCACAUGAAAACUCACAGUUAAGUGUGCUCAGAUGGGAGUAGUACUAGGAUGGGUGACCUCCCGGAAAGUCUUCACUAGGGCAACAA